AGAAUAAACAUAUCAAGGGACAAAUUGCAAUGGGAAGUAAAUCUUGGAUGACAAAGUAUUAUUUCAUAACUUCAUUAAGGCAAAAAUCUUGGUAACUGGAGGGA